GAGAGUUAAACAGUACGUGAAAUUGUUGAAAGGGAAACGAUUGAAGUCAGUCAUACCAACGGGAAAUCAACCUCUUGAGUUUGGUCUCGUGGGUUUCGAAGAGUUUAAAAGCCUUCGGAUUUUCGAGAUUGGGUUCUUCUGGUGUACUUUCUCGUACGGUUAGUCAACAUCGGUUUUGAAUGUCAUAAAAUGACUGGAGGAAUGUGGCUUCGAUCUCGUAUUAAAGUGUUAUAGCUUUUGGUAGAUGUGAUGUUCGAGACCGAGGAUUGCAACGGAUACCCUUCUGGGCUAUUCGUCUGAUCUCUGAAACGUUGCCUUGAUGUCGAAAGCUUGCUUAUGAUGUUAGGGUAUUACGAUCAAAAGGUUAGAACGGAUUAAAUUCGUUAAGGAUGUUGACGUAAUGACUUUAAACGA
rnacentral:rRNA from 1 species